AGGACGAACGCUGGCGGCGUGCUUAACACAUGCAAGUCGAGCGGAAAGGCCCUUCGGGGUACUCGAGCGGCGAACGGGUGAGUAACACGUGAGCAAUCUGCCCUUAGCUUCGGGAUAGCUCCGGGAAACCGGAAUUAAUACCGAAUAUGACUUCGGCCGACAUCGGCCUUGGUGGAAAGUUUUUCGGCUAGGGAUGAACUCGCGGCCUAUCAGCUUGUUGGUGGGGUAAUGGCCUACCAAGGCGACGACGGGUAGCCGGCCUGAGAGGGCGACCGGCCACACUGGGACUGAGACACGGCCCAGACUCCUACGGGAGGCAGCAGUGGGGAAUAUUGCGCAAUGGGCGAAAGCCUGACGCAGCGACGCCGCGUGGGGGAUGAAGGCCUUCGGGUUGUAAACCCCGUUUCAGCAGGGACGAAGCGAAAGUGACGGUACCUGCAGAAGAAGCGCCGGCUAACUACGCGCCAGCAGCCGC
rnacentral:rRNA from 1 species